rnacentral:rRNA from 1 species
CAUCAGCCGCGGGAAUACGUAGGGUCCGAGCGUUGUCCGGAAUUAUUGGGCGUAAAGGGUGCGUAGGCGGCUUGACAAGUCUUGUGUGAAAUCUAUGGGCUCAACCCAUAGUCUGCACGGGAAACUGUCGGGCUUGAGUAUUGGAGAGGUGAGUGGAAUUUCCGGUGUAGCGGUGAAAUGCGUAGAUAUCGGAAGGAACACCUGUGGCGAAAGCGGCUCACUGGACAAUAACUGACGCCGAUGCACGAAAGCUAGGGGAGCAAACAGGAUUAGAUACCCGCGUAGUCCCUGUCUCUUAUAC